rnacentral:tRNA from 1 species
GCUUUCUUAGUAUAUAAGUACAUUUGACUUCCAAUCAAAAAGUUUGUUUAUCAAAGUUAAGCA